rnacentral:rRNA from 1 species
UACGUAGGGGGCAAGCGUUUGUCCGAAUUUAUUGGGCGUAAAGGGUGCGUAGGCGGUAUGGCAAGUCAAGUGUGAAAUCUCGGAGCUCAACUUCGAAACUGCACUUGAUACUACUAUGCUAGAGGGUUGUAGAGGAGACCGGAAUUCACGGUGUAGCAGUGAAAUGCGUAGAUAUCGUGAGGAAGACCAGUUGCGAAAGCGGGUCUCUGGGCAAUUCCUGACGCUGAGGCACGAAGGCUAGGGGAGCAAACGGG